GAAUGACAUCAAAAUCCAAUAUGGCACCUAUAAGAAAGUGGAUGUGAUUUACUCGAAACUCACGAGUGAUAAACAUUUUAUUUUAGCACCAUUAGAAAGCUGACAAAAGGGAGUCACCGACGAAUCAGCUUUAAGUUCUGCAACUUCAGUGCUUGGGGCUUCCUUUUUCGAGUCAAGAAGCGUUCAAAACUUCUAUACGGAACCGGCGUGAUUAUACAAAGUGUGUUUUCUGUACCGACAAAUUUAGGCUGAGCUUACCUUAAGCGUAGCUUACAAUCCGUGGCCGCCAUUGUCACAAUAGUCGGUACCACCAGUUACGUUUAAGCUAAACUCAGCUGGCAAGUGCCAUAAAUCCCCAGUUUGUGAUGCUUUCCAUCAGACAAAAAAUGUGGACUUUUUUUGUAAAGACAUUCUUUUUAAAGACUAUAAUAGUGGAGCUUUAAACCUCAAAGGAACUAUAACACUUUUCAAGAUGUUUAAUUAAUCCUACACUUUUUAGAACUUCUAACGGCCCAUUAAAUCUAAUCCGCGAUUAAUUGUAACUUUUCCUCAUUUAACCGCUUAUUUUCAGAAAAUGAACGUGGUUUAACAGCUACUUGACAUUAUAUUCCUAAACUGUCCGUUGUUCAAAAUACAAGAAAAACAAGAAUUCGCCCUAAAGUGAAAAGGCAAAAAUUAGGUUUGCCUUCAAAAAAUACUCGCGUGUUUCCAGCACUCCCAAUUUAACCAUAUUUUAACUUAUGUUGUAGCUCUUUUAGUUGAAAUUUGGAAAAACCGACAACAUUACAAGAUAAAAGUGCAAAAAGUUCAUUAUUUCAACGCAGUAGGCUCCAACUUGUACUUAUUUAUGUUACGCAAUGUGACAAGAAGAGUAUCAUAGCAGGGUAAAUAGCAAUUUAACUAUCAAUGGCAGAUGAAACGUGAUUGGAUAACUGGGACAGCAAUUGGUAACUGGACUUCAUAAUUUUAUGCCUGUAAAUAAAUUCUUUUUCGCUAAAUAUUGUUUUAUUCAAUGUUAACUAUCAGCAACUAUUAACCAUAAAUGCGGCUACUUUUUUUUAAUAUAGUAGGUACCUACUGAAAUGGUUGACUUGAUCAUUUUCUUAUUGAACAGAAAAGGGUAAGUGCAUACCCAUAUCAAUACAACUUUAUUCUAUACAAUCUUCUCCUUUCUAGGUUUAAGUGGAUACUAGUGGAUUUCUGUAAAAAAUGGAAAAGAAAGAAAAAAGUUCGUACGGAAACAACAAUAGAUGGAUCAGAUCUACAUGGCCAGCGUUCCAUUGUUUAAUGGUCGCCAAAUGGAAGCUCGGAGAUGUACGGUGGGGCCAUUUGACGUACUUGCGGACUCCUUCAAGAACCCCCGAACCAUUCCUCGUAAUAAGCU